CGCCCCCACCCGAUCGUCCAACCGUGCGAGCACCCUAACUUUGCAUCCCCGGUGCCGUCGCCGCGGCGCACACCUCCUGGGCCGCCGUCGAGGAGGAACGACGCGCCGCUGUCGCAUCCGCGCUUGCCGCUCAGCGCGUCUUGCUCCUCGGAUGCAUCCGCGGAGUCGGCCCCACCUCUCAUCUCCAGGCAAGCCCCUGUCCCUCAAGGGGUGACCUAAGAACACCACCACCACGCUCGCCGUGUGGCACCGCCUCCAAACCCUACGCCCUCACUCCACCAUGCCGCCGCAUCGUCGUCCCCGGCCUCCGCCCACGCCGCGCCCUGUACACGGCGGUGGUCGCGUUCCGGCACACGUCGCCCCUCCUCUCAUCUCCAGGCAAGCCCCUGUCCCUCAGAUCUGGGUUCAUCUCUGCCGAGGAGCUCGGCACCGUGGUGCGCUCGCUCGACCUGCGCACUACCUGAAGACGCUACCUGAAGACGCAUUAUGCUGCUAUUGUCUCCCUCGUCGUUGCCUCGUGGGUCACAGUGCUCCUCCACUCCCUCGUCAGCCACAAUGACAGCCAACAAGACUGGUGUCCAGGAGACUGAAAAGCACUGCUGAGGAGACUGAAAUUAUCUUCGCGAGGUGGAUUACACAUUGUAAGAACUAAGAACUAAAUCUGUUUUUUCUUCUUAUUUUAAAGAGGACCAGGUCUCCUGCAUUCUUGGAAACAAGAGACGAUCUCAGAUUAUCACUAACUUUUUUAUGAGCUAUAAAUGUGCUCUGCUUAACGGACAUCUUAAGGACCACAGAUUCAUAGAACUAUGGAUUCAUAUAAAACGGGUGAGGUCUUACGACUUCCUUUUUUACCUUUUCAAAUACCUCCUAUGUCAAGCCCUUUGCUUCACUUGUGUUUGCUUAGUAUUACUAACAAAUCAUGAAGCCCUUUGUUAAGUCUGUGCUUGCUUAGUGUUACUAAGAAGUCAUAAAGCCCCAACGAGUUUCUCUAGCUGAAUAUGAAGCAGUCACUAUCUGUCCUUGAUUGAUCGAAACUAAUUUGCAUGGUUCCUUUUGUGCACAACAACAUGAAACAUAAAUCUUGAAGAUUAUGUCACCGUAAGAAGUAGGUGUUCCUUACAUUUAGAGAGAACUAGAAAAAACGGUUACAUGCAUCUGGAGCCUUCCGAACACAAAACAAUUUACACGCGUGUUGGCGCGCGCCAGAAACAUUUCGUAAUUUAAGUAUUAUGAAUACUAUUUAAUUGUAAGUUAGUUAUUUGCAUGUGUAGUAAUUUAUUUAUUUACAGUAAAUACAUGACCACUAGAUAGAUUCAUUUGUUUUAUUUUUUUAGCAUGGAACUGAUUCAAAAGAACAUGAAGUCCAGUGUGAUUUGAAAAUUUGGGUAUAGCUCAGAAGAGAUUUGUGAUCAUUCGAAGUAUCGAAGAAACCUGCAACAUCAAGAAUUUUAAAAUGAAGGUCAGCUAUGUAUAUAUAUACCUUUGAAUAAUGGGAAACGAGAAAGUAAAGUUGUGUAUGUAAUUUACAAUCUGACAGGGAACAUUUAAAAUAUUUCUUUCUUUAAAGUGCAUACAAACUGAAAAAAGAGACUUUCAGAUUGUGCAUAGUUUCUUUCGUUAAAAAACUAGCAGCAAAAUAUAUCUGUUGUUGCAUUAGUAGUUGUCGGUUGUGCAUUAGUAGCUAUACCCGUUUGUACUUGCAGAUAGAAUUACUAAAUUGUUAUUCUUUGGUUGUCUGCGAACUGUUGCGAGAUGAAGAGGUUUGGUAAUUGAUGGUUUAUCGUGCAUAGCAAAAGACUCUUGUGAGAAACUAAUCUUUAUCUACACUACUCCUUAAGACAUUACUGACCUAAACUCCACCGUCCCUUCCUAAUCCUGAUUUAGUUGGAACUCAAUAUCUUUAGUUGGAACUCAAUAUCUUUAGCUGGAACUCAAGCAUCGGUAAGGGGGUGGUGUUUAUGCUGUCAGAGUUUGUGAACUUGAGAAAGUUCAGAUAAGUAAUGUUUGCACUGAAGAAAUGAAUUGGGCACAAGAAUCCAAAAGUUCACCUUCUUGCACUAAUUGUAAGUCUUUCUGUGAUUAUGUGCACUAACUGUAAGUCUGUCUGUAUUUCUUCAGGUGAUCCGUUCAUCUUUGAGACGCAGCGCCACAAUGGCAUAAGGGAGCUUUGCCCUACGAAUGGAGAGCACAAGCUAAUCCGUGCCCGUGCUCUCAUCCCCCUGCAUGAACCCAAUUCUGUUGCGAUCAACCAUCAAUGGCUGCAUAUGGGUCAUGCCUUCUCAUUGUCCAAGCUUGAGUUUGGUGCUGCAUACCACAUGGCUCCAUUGUUCUUUUGCCCUUUGCUUUCCACUGCACUGGAAUGCCCAUCAAGGCCUCCGCUGAUAAGCUAGCUAGGGAAAUCCAACAAUCAUUCAGUGAUGUUUCUUAUGGAUUCUCUAAUAGUCAAAUAAUUGCUCCUAAUUGACUCAUUUCAUUUCUUGCAGUGGUAAAACCGUUACUAUUUCUCUCUAGAAUGAUCUUGCUACUAGGACUGGACAAGAGCUUUUGGACAUGGUUGACAGUUUGCCCAUUGUUGCGAUAAAGAGCCUAAAAGUAUCUGACUUCCAAGGAACGAUAGCUCUCUGCCCAGCCACCAGUUUUGAGUUGUAUUGAGAGCAAAAAUUCACAUGCUUUCCGAAUGCAAAUAUUGUUCUCAUAA